UUUAGUUAAUUGACACAACAUAGUGUGGAAGAGAGAGAAAAGGGGCAUGCCCCAAUGCAGAAGCCAAAGUCUACUUUGAUUGCACAGAUAAUCCAGAGGAAAAACUUAUAGCUGAAACCCACAAUCACAAAAGAAAAAACACAAACACACGGUAGAAUUUUAACUUGAUGAUGUAUACAUAGAAAAGAGAGAACAUAUUGUUCUUUGUCACAUAAUCCAAUAAGGUACUCCUUUCUUCUUAUCCAAUUCGUUGAACCUUGAAACAUGUUGGAAGACCGGUCUUGUUUGGUUCCACGGGAUUUUCCUAGAGAAAGCAACUGGUCAGCCUGCAUGAAUUACAGCCUUGAUACGGUUGAAGUUCAGCACAGUAAAAGGCCAUUGGUAAAUAAUCAGGAGAAUGAAGUUGUGCAACGCAAGUUGCCAAAGCGAUCUGAUUCUGUCAAUAGAGAAGUUGCUCUAUCAUUAGGUGAUGCUUCAGUAUCACCAAAUGACCAUGCUGGUAAUCAGUGUCAUGCUGCCGAUAAUUCUGAUUCUAGCUCUCUUAUUCCUUCCAUUGGCCGAGACAACUCCAUUAGUUCUCUUAUUCGUUGCUCUAGGUCUGAUUAUGGCACUAUUGCAUCUUUGAAUCAUAGCUUUCGCUCAUUAAUUAGGAGUGGCGAGCUUUACAGACUGCGGCGUCAAUAUGGUAAGGUUGAGCAUUGGGUUUACUUCUCUUGCCAGCUACUUGAAUGGGAAGCUUUUGACCCCAGUCGUUGCCGUUGGAUGCAUCUACCAUCAAUGAAUCCCAAUGAAUGCUUUGUGUUCUCAGAUAAGGAGUCUCUUGCAGUUGGCACAGAGCUUCUUGUGUUUGGAAAGGAGAUUUUGUCGCAUGCCAUUUAUCGUUACAGUAUACUAACAAACACUUGGUCAUCUGGAAUGCAAAUGAAUGCACCAAGGUGUUUGUUUGGCUCUGCCAGCCUUGGGGAGAUUGCCAUUCUAGCUGGUGGUUGUGACUCACAGGGAAAUAUCCUUAAAUCAGCAGAACUUUACAGUUCAGAGACGGGAACGUGGAAGACUUUACCAAGCAUGAACAAGCAGCGUAAGAUGUGUUCUGCAGUAUUUAUGGACAAAAAGUUCUAUGUAAUUGGAGGCAUUGGAGGAACAGAGUCAAAGCUAUUGACCUGUGGAGAGGAAUAUGAUCUGGUAACAGGAAAAUGGACUGAAAUUUCGAGCAUGUCUCCUGUCCGAGCUAGGGGCGAUACACCUGCUGCAUCUGAAGCGCCUCCUUUGGUGGCUGUGGUAAAUAAUGAUUUGUAUGCUGCUGAUUAUGCUGACAUGGAGGUGAGGAAGUAUGACAAGCAAAAUAAAGCAUGGGCUACCGUAGGAAGAUUACCUGAAAGAGCAGCUUCGAUGAAUGGUUGGGGUUUGGCUUUUAGGGCUUGUGGUGAUAGGCUAAUUGUAAUUGGAGGGCCUAGAACCAUGGAUGAAGGGCAUAUCGAAGUUAAUUCAUGGAUUCCAAGUGAAGGACCACCUCAUUGGAACUUGCUUGGACAAAAGCGAUCUGGUAGCUUUGUGUAUAAUUGUGCUGUCAUGGGUUGCUGAUCAUGUGUACUAUAGCAGUGAUUUUUGCUAGUAGAUACAGAAUUGGUUUCUGGAGAACAGGAUUCUUGCCAAUUGGCCAGCUCUUAUAAAAGGUUAACCUGAUUUGGAAUUUGAAUGACAAGCUGGCUAGCAGUUGUCAUUUAAGCUUACCGGGUAGCUGUCUGGAUUCAUUCAUAAUUGGCAGGGAACUUGGCCCUUUCUGCGGAUUCUACCUUCGUGUUUCAAAGUUCGACUAUGCUUGCCUGUACAAGUCAUAAAAUGGAUAGAUAGAGGUAAAAAGAUGCAAAUGUGAAUGCCUACAUGUGAAAAACUAAGCAAACCGUUAUUACCCAUUUAUUUCUUUUUGAUGCCUAUGGUUGUGAACUUGUGGUUAAUAGACACCUGAGUUUUGUCCUGACUGGCAAAGAUGAGGUACAUGUCCUGACGGCAGGUUUUUCUUGAACAUGUUGGGGUAUCAUAUGCCUGUGUUAGAUCCUCGAAAAGAUGUUUACUCCAGUGUAGAUUAUCUUGCUCAGAUUAGUGAAAGUCGAUUCAACUCUUGGUUCCAGUUGCCAUUAGUUAGACUUAUCGUGACCGUCAUGUAUGUGUACAUGCAUAUUAUGAAUCCUAAAAUCUUGUGAAAUUGCAUAA